AUACGAAAAGGCAAACUCAGGGUAACCUGAGGGCGCAAAGCAGUGCAUCCCGAUCGCGGGACAGGCAAGCUACCGAAA
rnacentral:ncRNA from 1 species